UACGAAGGGGGCUAGCGUUGUUCGGAAUUACUGGGCGUAAAGGGCGCGUAGGCGGUGUGUCAAGUCAGGCGUGAAAGCCCCGGGCUCAACCUGGGAACCGCGCUUGAGACUGGCACGCUCGAGUUCGGGAGAGGAUGGUGGAAUUCCCAGUGUAGAGGUGAAAUUCGUAGAUAUUGGGAAGAACACCGAUGGCGAAGGCAGCCAUCUGGGCCGACACUGACGCUGAGGCGCGAAAGCGUGGGGAGCAAACAGG
rnacentral:rRNA from 1 species